UGGAGGGAUGGAGGAGAAGAGAAUGUACACUCCCAUCUGAAUCUGUGUUUGAAAUUAAAUUUUUCAUUUAUUCCCAGACUUAUAUUAAACUUGUGUUACACAAGAAUGCAUUUUAUUACUUCUUGUCUGAAGUGAAUUGAUUCAUUUUGUGGCUCAGGUUGGGCUAAUGGCAUCACUUGGUGUCCAUCAUCUGUUAAUUUUAACAAAAAUCUUCUUCUCUGACAUGUAGCUAGGCUAAUAAUCUGUGCAGUUUUGUAUUCAAUGUGCAUUUUUUGAUCAAAUUAUUCAGAGGUCAGACUAGUAUAUUAUCUGCAAUAUAUAGAUUUGUAUGCCCUAUCAACAAUAUGAGGAGAGCUUUGUGUGUUACAGUCUCUCAGACUCGGUCAUUCCCAAGGUCACUGAACAUUUGGCAAAGGCCAGUAAAAAUUGGUUUGGUCCAGUUAAGUGAUAUGCAUUAAUUGACCAAAUGACCAGUUAAAUUUUAAUUGUGUCCAAAUUAUAUGUGUAAAUGUCCUGUAAAAAAUAGUCUGGUCCAGUUAAGAAGAAUGGUUUACUGGACCAAAUGUCCAGUUGAUUUCUAAAAGCUAUGGAACCACUGCAGUCUGUACCAUUUGGGGUUAAAGUGUUGGUUUAAGAUGGUUUACUAUGAAGUUCAACUGGUCACACAAACUGGAAACUUAGUAGAUAUGUUCAUUACGAUGUUUACAUAUAAAUAAAUAGGCUAAAUUAGGAUUCUGACCUAGAUUUCACUAUACAUCACCGUGUUUACCGUGAAGUUGGGGUCACAUAGUACAACUUUCAUUAUGAUGUAAAUUUUAAAAAUAUAUGCCAAAAUAGGGUUUUGACCAAGAUUGCAUGGUUUCAUGAAUAUGUAAAUGGAAAUAUAGUGUGAGAGAGGCAUUGUUUCCAAUGGACAUAUAUUCUUGUUAUUUGUGAAUUUUGAGAGAGAAAAUACAGAUAGUGACUAGACCAGAGAUAUAAGGGAAACAAUUGCCUUGUUUUCUGAAUUUGUUUUAAUAAAAAGAUUUAUUUGAAAAAUCCUUGGACUGCCAUCAGUUAUAUAGCAAACUUUUAUUUUAUUUUGUUCAGAUUUUUUUUUUAUAAUCUAUAUUUGCGGUAUGAAAGGGAUUCAAACUGAAAUUAGGUUUGAUAUAACAAUAUUAUACAUCAUAAAAACUUCAUGACAUGUUCCUGUAUAGUCUAUUACCUAUUUACAUAAAAUAGCUGUAUUUUUUCUGUUUAUACAAUUAUGAUGUCAGUGAUUUUUAUACGACCGCAAAAAAAUUUUGUGGUCGUAUAUUGGUAUGAUGUUGGCGUCUUCGUCGUCGUCCGAAGACACAUUGGUUUUCGCACUCUAACUUUAGUUUAAGUGAAUGGAUCUCUAUGAAAUUUUACCAUAAGGUUCAAUACCACAAAAGGAAGGUUGGGAUUGAUUUUGGGGGUUAUGGUACCAAGAGUUAAGGAAUUAGGGUCCAAAAAGGGGCCAAAAAUAAGCAUUUUUGUAACUUCCAGACAUAACUUGUGUGUUAGUGUAUGGAUCUCUCUGACAUUGUACCUCAAGUAUCCAUAUCACAAAGGGAAUGCUGGGAUUGAUUUUGGGGAUAAUUGCCUCAAAAUUUUAGGAAUUAGGGGCCAAAAAAAGGGGCAAAAAACAAGCAUUUUUCUAGUUUCAUGACAAUAACUUGUGUGUUAGUGUAUGGAUCUCUCUGAAAUUGGACUGCAAGGUACCAUACCACAAAUGGAAGGCUGGGAUUGAUUUUGGGAGUAAUUGCCACAAUGUUUUAGGAAUUAGGGGCCAAAAAGGGGCAAAAAACAAGCAUUUUUCUAGUUUCAGGACAAUAACUUGUGUGUAAGUGUAUGGAUCUUUAUGAAAUUGUACUACAAGGUUCCAUAUCACAAAGGGAAAGCUGGGUUUGAGUUUGGGGGUAAUUGCCCAAGACGUUUAGGAAUUUGAGGCCAAAAAGGGGCCCAAAAACAAGCAUUUUUCUAGUUUCUAGACAAUAACUUGUGUUCAAGUGUAUUGAUCUCUCUGAAAUUGUACUGCAAGGUACCAUACCACAAAUGGAAGGCUGGGAUUGAUUUUGGGAGUAAUUGCCUCAAAGUUUUAGGAAUAAGGGGCCAAAAAGGGACCAAAAAUAAGCAUUUUUCUAGUUUCCAGAGAAUGACUUGUGUUCAAGUGUAUGGAUCUCUCUGAAAUUGUACUGCAAGGUACCAUACCACAAAUGGAAGGCUGGGAUUGAUUUUGGGAGUAAUUGCCUCAAAGUUUUAGGAAUUAA